rfam:Triticum aestivum genome assembly, contig: Triticum_aestivum_CS42_TGACv1_scaffold_571766_7AS
UUUCUACUCCCUCCGUCUGAAAAUACUUGUCAUCAAAAUGGAUAAAAAGAGAUGUAUCUAAAACUAAAAUACGUCUAGAUACAUUUCCUUUUAUCCAUUUUGAUGACAAGUAUUUUCGGACGGAGGGAGUAUUUG